rnacentral:rRNA from 1 species
UACGUAGGGUGCAAGCGUUGUCCGGAAUUAUUGGGCGUAAAGAGCUCGUAGGCGGUUUGUCGCGUCUGCUGUGAAAACCUAAGGCUCAACCUUGGGCUUGCAGUGGGUACGGGCAGACUAGAGUGCGGUAGGGGUGACUGGAAUUCCCGGUGUAGUGGUGGAAUGCGUAGAUAUCGGGAGGAACACCAGUGGCGAAGGCGGUUGCCUGGGGCUUUGCUGACGCUGAUGCGGCGAAAGCGUGGGGAGCGAUCCGG